UACGUAGGGUGCAAGCGUUGUCCGGAAUUAUUGGGCGUAAAGAGCUCGUAGGCGGCUUGUCACGUCGACUGUGAAAACCCGGGGCUCAACUCCGGGCCUGCAGUCGAUACGGGCUGGCUUGAGUGCGGUAGGGGAGACUGGAAUUCCUGGUGUAGCGGUGAAAUGCGCAGAUAUCAGGAGGAACACCGAUGGCGAAGGCAGGUCUCUGGGCAUUAACUGACGCUGAGGAGCGAAAGCAUGGGGAGCGAACAGG
rnacentral:rRNA from 1 species